rnacentral:rRNA from 1 species
UACAGAGGGUGCAAGCGUUAAUCGGAAUUACUGGGCGUAAAGCGUGCGUAGACGGUUGCGUAAGUCAGAUGUGAAAGCCCCGGGCUCAACCUGGGAAUUGCAUUUGAUACUGCGUUGCUUGAGUACAAGAGAGGAAAGUGGAAUUUCUAGUGUAGGGGUGAAAUCCGUAGAUAUUAGAAGGAAUACCGAUGGCGAAGGCAACUUUCUGGCUUGUAACUGACACUGAGAUCCGAAAGCGUGGGUAGCAAACAGG